GUAAACAUAUGCGCGGUGUAAGCAUUACGCCAAAGUGGCUGCAUAUGUAAGUAAUCGCGCGCGAGCCUGCACGGCCCACUGCUUUGCUCGCGCAUAUCGCGUACGUGGGAUGCCGGAUCAAGUGAAAGAAGAGUUCUUCGUGGCCGUGAAAAAAAAUGGUGCCUGUGGCAGACAGGGCGGCGAAGAAUGUGAACCAUCGAUCGUGGACUCAGCCCAACAGUACGAUGCGUGGUGCAAAAGAUGGCUAGUCUUUGGAGGAUUGUGAGCAUGUGGCAGCUGCACACCAGUACGUGUGGAACAGCUCUUCGAUGGCAGUGUGCGCUGGUGGUGGACGCAGCAGCAGUAGAGACAGGCAGUUGGUGUGCGCUUUCCUGUCGUGCUACUUCCCCUUCUCCAUGUCUCCUUUACAUCCCUUCAGCCUUUUCCACAAAGGCACCGAGAUGUGCCCCCACGCAGGAGCCUGGUUGAGAAGCCAGUUUCCGGACACCACCUGGAGCAAGGUGUCCAAAUUUCUACACGUGUUCCACAAGAAUGCAGUGAAAAUUUCAACAAAAGAUGGGCAUGGCACAAAGGAACAGGAAGAAUUUUUUUUUG